UUCUUCUUUCACCUAUUGCAGAGCCGAUUUGCUGAUGCUUUACUGCGAGAACUUGCAGGAGUUACAAUACCGCCUGAAAGAAUAUUUGGUCUUGGAAGUGGUCCCAAGGUAGAAGUAUUGAAGCAGCUUCAAAAGAAACCAGAACAUCAGGGGCUGAAACUGCACUUUGUCGAAGAUCGACUGGCAACCCUAAAGAAUGUGAUCAAAGAACCUGAAUUGGAUGGUUGGAAUUUGUAUCUAGGGGAUUGGGGGUACAAUACACAGAAGGAGAGGGAGGAGGCAGCUACAAUUCCCAGGAUUCGGAUCCUUGAGCUUUCUGACUUCAGUAAGAAGUUGAAGUAGCUGUGAAUGUAUUCAUUCAGUUAAACUGGAAACGACAAACUUCGUUGUCGGAGACUUAGAAUCUUACAGUCAGAAAUUUUAUGUACUUCCUCUGUUGUAAUCUGUUGAACAGAAUUUGUCUCCUUUCAAACAAAGAAGCUGAGUAUUAUUGAAGUUGCUUCUGGUGAAA